rnacentral:rRNA from 1 species
GACGAACGCUGGCGGCGUGCUUAACACAUGCAAGUCGAACGGUGAACGAGGGAGCUUGCUCCCUCCGGAUCAGUGGCGAACGGGUGAGUAACACGUGAGCAAUCUGCCCCGAACUCUGGGAUAAGCGUUGGAAACGACGUCUAAUACCGGAUACGACGCGGGAGGGCAUCCUCUCCGCGUGGAAAGAACUUCGGUUCGGGAUGAGCUCGCGGCCUAUCAGCUUGUUGGUGAGGCAACGGCUCACCAAGGCGACGACGGGUAGCCGGCCUGAGAGGGUGACCGGCCACACUGGGACUGAGACACGGCCCAGACUCCUACGGGAGGCAGCAGUGGGGAAUAUUGCACAAUGGGCGCAAGCCUGAUGCAGCAACGCCGCGUGAGGGGCGACGGCCUUCGGGUUGUAAACCUCUUUUAGCAGGGAAGAAGCGAAAGUGACGGUACCUGCAGAAAAAGCACCGGCUAACUACGUG